GACGAACGCUGGCGGCGUGCUUAACACAUGCAAGUCGAACGAUGGAGCUGGAGCUUGCUCCGGUGGAUUAGUGGCGAACGGGUGAGUAACACGUGAGCAAUCUGCCCUUGACUCUGGGAUAACUGCGGGAAACUGUAGCUAAUACCGGAUACGAGACCUGAAGGCAUCUUCGGGUCUGGAAAGAAUUUCGGUCAAGGAUGAGCUCGCGGCCUAUCAGCUUGCUGGUGAGGUAAUGGCUCACCAAGGCGACGACGGGUAGCCGGCCUGAGAGGGUGACCGGCCACACUGGGACUGAGACACGGCCCAGACUCCUACGGGAGGCAGCAGUGGGGAAUAUUGCACAAUGGGCGAAAGCCUGAUGCAGCAACGCCGCGUGAGGGAUGAAGGCCUUCGGGUUGUAAACCUCUUUUAGCAGGGAAGAAGCGAAAGUGACGGUACCUGCAGAAAAAGCACCGGCUAACUACGUGCCAGCCGCCGCGGUAA
rnacentral:rRNA from 1 species